UCAGAGGGCCGGGCGGCCGCGGCCUCGGGAAACCGGGGGCGAGGAAAGUCCGGGCUCCACGGAACGACGGUGCCGGGUAACGCCCGGCGGGGGUGACCCCAGGGACAGUGCCACAGAGAGCAGACGGCCACGGCUUCGGCCAGGUCAGGGUGAAAGGGUGCGGUAAAAGCGCACCGCGGGUCCGGUAACGGAAACGGCAUGGCAAACCCCACCGGGAGCAAGACCGAAUAGGGACGGCAUGGCGCCUUCGGGUGUCGGGGUGUGUUCCCACCCGCCGUCCGGGUUGGUUGCUUGAGGCGAUGUGCAAGCAUCGUCCUAGAAGAAUGGUCGCCCAUCCGGCUUUGCCGGUGGACAGAACCCGGCUUACAGGCCCUCUGGCUGA
rnacentral:RNase_P_RNA from 2 species